rnacentral:rRNA from 1 species
UACGGAGGGUGCAAGCGUUAUCCGGAUUCACUGGGUUUAAAGGGUGCGUAGGCGGGCAAGUAAGUCAGUGGUGAAAUCUCCGAGCUUAACUCAGAAACUGCCGUGGAUACUAUUUGUCUUGAAUAUUGUGGAGGUGAGCGGAAUAUGUCAUGUAGCGGUGAAAUGCUUAGAUAUGACAUAGAACACCAAUUGCGAAGGCAGCUCACUACACAAUUAUUGACGCUGAGGCACGAAAGCGUGGGGAUCAAACAGG